AACUACACAAAAUUAAAAGUUAGUCUCCAAAACUCUAUCUCCGCAAAAACUCCAAAAAUCAUCUCCACCGAAACCCUCCUCCGCACCUCGUCCGCCACUCCUCCGCACCAUCCCUCACUCCUUCAUCUUCUCCUAUCAAGCAGACACCCAACCUCAUCUUAUCGAUGCCAACACAAGUCGUUGCCUUCUUCUCCAUCUUCCACCUUUUCUACAUCUAGCCAACCACCUCCUCUACAUCACCGCCGACGGAGCUACUUACUCUCAUCUCUCCUAUUCGGGUUAGGAGAGGAGAGGCCAUAGCUUCCUUCCGGAAGCUCCCAUUCCCUCUCCACAUAUUUUUGUCUAAUUUUUUUGCAUUCUUCGUUAUUGCUUCUAUGCGACUGAAGUGGAGGAUGACAGUCGUUUCUGUAGUUUUUGUUUUCUUUGCAUGAAUCCUCACCCAUUUUUGUUCAAAGAUUUUUGUUUCUUGAUUAAGAUGCAAGAUUUAUUUUUUAUGUAAGGAAGUUCCUGAAACUACUAAGACCUGGGAAAGAAAUCGUGGUUCUUUGUUUCAUUCUUUUGUUAGUCGAGUUAUAUGAUAUCAUAUUUAGAAUUAUUAAUGCUUCCAUGGAGUUCUAUUUACUCAUCUGUUGUAGUCUGAUGCUUGAUAGAUUUGUUUCUUUCCUAGGCUUUAAUGAACCAAUCUUUUAUCUCUUUUUUUUGCUAUAGUAAUGAAGUGUUGCUUGUUUAGCAUCUUAAUUUAAACUAGUUUAAUAUUGUUAAAUAAGUUCGGAAACAAGUCAUCAAUUCUUCAUUGGUGUUUUCAAUUCAAGAUCCAAGAUCAUCAAAUGUUUGAUAAAAUGUCCCAACCAUUUGUCCUACUUUAGUUUUGCAUUUUCUUAAGCUUAGAUUCUCGCAAUGCUUUGUUAAUUGAAUGCUUCAUGUUUCUCUUAUGUUCAUGUCAUCAUUUAAAUGCAAUUAGGUUAUAGAUUAGAUGUUUCUAUAAUGCUUUAUGUUUUGUUAAAUGUUUUGCUUACUUUAUGUUGCUUUGUUUUUAAUUUUUAGUUUCUAUUUUUUUAAUGAAAUGAUAACUGAAUUAUUUAUAGAAAAUAUUGACUUUCAUGGCAUAUAAAUCAGUACAUGUUUUCAAUUGCAGACUUGUGUUCUUAUAGUCAAUAUACAUUGUGAAGGUUGUAAGGAUAAGGUCAAGAAAAGGUGCAGAAGGUUCAAGUGUUGGUGACUUACCAAAGAAGGAGACUUUGAAUGCAAGGAUUUGAUGAAAAGAGUACAAAAGAUUGUUUGUUCUGCCUUUGUGCAACUUAUAGAAGUUCGAACAUUAUUCCUAGAGGAGCAACAACUACAUGCUAUGUGGCACUGCAUUCGAACCUCAGGGGUGUGACUAGGAAGUACUUCGAUGAAGAACUAUCAAGAAGGUUUUGGGAUUUAAGCGAGAAGAUGGUUAAAGUCAAUGAGUAAAGAACAUUCAAGUCAACAGGAUAAGUAGCAUCUAUCAAGAUCCUUUAAGCUCAUGAAAUAAGAUAUAAUCGAUAGGAGUAAUUUUAAGUAUCUUCUAAUUAAAAUUUCUUUGUAUGCGAGUAAUUAUGUUUGUUAUAGAAGUGUAAGGAUGAUAAUUUAUAUAUUUAUCUUGGUUGUUUAUUUAA